rnacentral:rRNA from 1 species
UACGAAGGGGCUAGCGUUGUUCGGAAUUACUGGGCGUAAAGCGCACGUAGGCGGAUUGUUAAGUUAGGGGUGAAAUCCCGGGGCUCAACCCUGAAACUGCACUUGAUACUGCGUGGCUCGGGUACUGGAGAGGAGACUGGAAUUUACGGUGUAGCAGUGAAAUGCGUAGAUAUCGUAAGGAAGACCAGUGGCGAAGGCGAGUCUCUGGACAGUUACCGACGCUGAGGCACGAAGGUCAGGGGAGCAAACGGG